rnacentral:rRNA from 1 species
UACAGAGGUCUCAAGCGUUGUUCGGAUUCAUUGGGCGUAAAGGGCUCGUAGGUGGCCAACUAAGUCAGACGUGAAAUCCCCAGGCUCAACCUGGGAACUGCGUCUGAUACUGGAUGGCUUGAAUCCGGGAGAGGGAUGCAGAAUUCCAGGUGUAGCGGUGAAAUGCGUAGAUAUCUGGAGGAAUACCGGUGGCGAAGGCGGCAUCCUGGACCGGGAUUGACACUGAGGAGCGAAAGCUAGGGGAGCAAACGGG